GAUGAAGAACGCAGCGAAAUGCGAUACGUAAUGUGAAUUGCAGAAUUCAGUGAAUCAUCGAGUCUUUGAACGCACAUUGCGCCCCUUGGUAUUCCAUGGGGCAUGCCUGUUCGAGCGUCAUUUGUACCUUCAAGCUCUGCUUGGUGUUGGGUGUUUGUCUCGCCUCUGCGUGUAGACUCGCCUCAAAAUAAUUGGCAGCCGGCGUAUUGAUUUCGGAGCGCAGUACAUCUCGCGCUUUGCACUCAUAACGACGACGUCCAAAAGUACAUUUUUACACUCUUGACCUCGGAUCAGGUAGGGAUACCCGCUGAACUUAAGCAUAUCAAUAAGCGGAGGA
rnacentral:misc_RNA from 1 species